GGGAACGCUUACCACUUUGUGAUUCAUGACUGGGGUGAAGUCGUAACAAGGUAACCGUAGGGGAACCUGCGGUUGGAUCACCUCCUUACCUUAAAGAA
rnacentral:rRNA from 1 species